CAAUAGCGUAUAUUAAAGUUGUUGCGGUUAAAAAGCUCGUAGUUGGAUUUCUGUUGAGGACGGCCGGUCCGCACUAUGUGCGUGUAUCUGGUUCGGCCUCGGCAUCCUCUCGAAAGCCGUUUCUGCGCUUGAUUGCGUGGUUCGGACUUCGGGACUUUUACUUUGAGGAAAUUAGAGUGUUCACGGCAGGCAAGCGCCUUGAAUAUAUUAGCAUGGAAUAAUAAUAUAGGAUCUUGGUCCUAUUUUGUUGGUUUCUAGGGCUAAGAUAAUGAUUAAUAGGGACAAUUGGGGGCAUUCGUAUUAACGCGUCAGAGGUGGAAUUCUUGGAUUGCGUUACGACGAACUACUGCGAAAGCAUUUGCCAAGGAUGUUUUCGUUGA
rnacentral:rRNA from 1 species